CCUGGUGACCAUAGAGUGUUGGAACCACCCGAUCCCAUCCCGAACUCGGAAGUGAAACGAUACAUCGCCGAUGGUAGUGUGGGG
rnacentral:rRNA from 1 species